rnacentral:rRNA from 2 species
GACGAACGCUGGCGGCGAGCCUAAUACAUGCAAGUCGAACGAACUCUGGUAUUGAUUGGUGCUUGCAUCAUGAUUUACAUUUGAGUGAGUGGCGAACUGGUGAGUAACACGUGGGAAACCUGCCCAGAAGCGGGGGAUAACACCUGGAAACAGAUGCUAAUACCGCAUAACAACUUGGACCGCAUGGUCCGAGUUUGAAAGAUGGCUUCGGCUAUCACUUUUGGAUGGUCCCGCGGCGUAUUAGCUAGAUGGUGGGGUAACGGCUCACCAUGGCAAUGAUACGUAGCCGACCUGAGAGGGUAAUCGGCCACAUUGGGACUGAGACACGGCCCAAACUCCUACGGGAGGCAGCAGUAGGGAAUCUUCCACAAUGGACGAAAGUCUGAUGGAGCAACGCCGCGUGAGUGAAGAAGGGUUUCGGCUCGUAAAACUCUGUUGUUAAAGAAGAACAUAUCUGAGAGUAACUGUUCAGGUAUUGACGGUAUUUAACCAGAAAGCCACGGCUAACUACGUGCCAGCAGCCGCGGUAAUACGUAGGUGGCAAGCGUUGUCCGGAUUUAUUGGGCGUAAAGCGAGCGCAGGCGGUUUUUUAAGUCUGAUGUGAAAGCCUUCGGCUCAACCGAAGAAGUGCAUCGGAAACUGGGAAACUUGAGUGCAGAAGAGGACAGUGGAACUCCAUGUGUAGCGGUGAAAUGCGUAGAUAUAUGGAAGAACACCAGUGGCGAAGGCGGCUGUCUGGUCUGUAACUGACGCUGAGGCUCGAAAGUAUGGGUAGCAAACAGGAUUAGAUACCCUGGUAGUCCAUACCGUAAACGAUGAAUGCUAAGUGUUGGAGGGUUUCCGCCCUUCAGUGCUGCAGCUAACGCAUUAAGCAUUCCGCCUGGGGAGUACGGCCGCAAGGCUGAAACUCAAAGGAAUUGACGGGGGCCCGCACAAGCGGUGGAGCAUGUGGUUUAAUUCGAAGCUACGCGAAGAACCUUACCAGGUCUUGACAUACUAUGCAAAUCUAAGAGAUUAGACGUUCCCUUCGGGGACAUGGAUACAGGUGGUGCAUGGUUGUCGUCAGCUCGUGUCGUGAGAUGUUGGGUUAAGUCCCGCAACGAGCGCAACCCUUAUUAUCAGUUGCCAGCAUUAAGUUGGGCACUCUGGUGAGACUGCCGGUGACAAACCGGAGGAAGGUGGGGAUGACGUCAAAUCAUCAUGCCCCUUAUGACCUGGGCUACACACGUGCUACAAUGGAUGGUACAACGAGUUGCGAACUCGCGAGAGUAAGCUAAUCUCUUAAAGCCAUUCUCAGUUCGGAUUGUAGGCUGCAACUCGCCUACAUGAAGUCGGAAUCGCUAGUAAUCGCGGAUCAGCAUGCCGCGGUGAAUACGUUCCCGGGCCUUGUACACACCGCCCGUCACACCAUGAGAGUUUGUAACACCCAAAGUCGGUGGGGUAACCUUUUAGGAACCAGCCGCCUAAGGUGGGACAGAUGAUUAGGGUG